rnacentral:rRNA from 1 species
UACAGAGGGGGCGAGCGUUGUUCGGAAUUACUGGGCGUAAAGGGCGCGUAAGCGGCCUGCUAAGUCGGACGUGAAAUCCCUCGGCUCAACCGGGGAACUGCGUCCGAUACUGGUUGGCUUGAAUUCGGGAGAGGGAUGCGGAAUUCCAGGUGUAGCGGUGAAAUGCGUAGAUAUCUGGAGGAACACCGGUGGCGAAGGCGGCAUCCUGGACCGAGAUUGACGCUGAUGCGCGAAAGCCAGGGGAGCAAACGGG